rnacentral:rRNA from 1 species
UACGAAGGGGUGAACGUUGCUCGGAAUACUUGGGCGUAAAGCGCACGUAGGCGGAUUGUUAAGUCAGGGGUGAAAUCCCGGAGCUCAACUCCGGAACUGCCUUUGAUACUGGCGAUCUUGAGUCCGGGAGAGGUGAGUGGAACUGCGAGUGUAGAGGUGAAAUUCGUAGAUAUUCGCAAGAACACCAGUGGCGAAGGCGGCUCACUGGCCCGGUACUGACGCUGAGGUGCGAAAGCGUGGGGAGCAAACAGGGAUUAAGAAAC